UUAGACAAGAUAACUUUCUGGAGAUUGAUGUGGACAUCGGUUCAUCAUCUGUGGCAAGAGGUGUCAUUGGUCUUGUACUGGGAUAUGUGACAAGCCUUGUCGUUGAUCUUGCUAUUUUAAUAGAGGCAAAAGAAGAGGCUGAACUCCCUGAAUACAUUCUUGGAACUGUUAGAUUAAAUCGGGUGAAGGUCGAUUCUGCUGUGCCAUUGGAGAGCUGAGAUUCUUUCGUUAGUGAGGGUCAUUAAUCCCCUUGAAAUCGAAUAUAGUGGAGUCAUUAUUAUUAAUUUGUGUACUAAAAUGAUAUCCCAACUCAUUUGGGACUGAGACGCAGUUGUCAAAAAUGAUAUACCAAGAACAGCGCAAAAUCGCAUGUUGUACUAAGAAAACCUGAUUCUUGAAACAGAAGUUGUAACUGAGAUGAGUGUUGUGUGAAUACUCAAAAUCCCUAUACUUUUCAUGACAUAUAUAUAGUGAUUGUCACUCCUUUAUGUGAA